rnacentral:rRNA from 1 species
ACAUAAGUAACGAUAAAGCGGGUGAAAAGCCCGCUCGCCGGAAGACCAAGGGUUCCUGUCCAACGUUAAUCGGGGCAGGGUGAGUCGACCCCUAAGGCGAGGCCGAAAGGCGUAGUCGAUGGGAAACAGGUUAAUAUUCCUGUACUUGGUGUUACUGCGAAGGGGGGACGGAGAAGGCUAUGUUGGCCGGGCGACGGUUGUCCCGGUUUAAGCGUGUAGGUGUGUGUUCCAGGUAAAUCCGGUUCACUUUAACACUGAGGCGUGAUGA